UCUUCCUCCUCCUCCACUUCAUCCGCUCCCCAAUCCAUCAAGGGGUCCGGGGUGUACCCCCUUGGCAUGGCCCCGUCUAUCUCUCUUGGCGCCGAUCCUGAUGAUGAGAAUCCUGUUUGGGGCCAAGUCCUAACAACAUCUGGUACGCCUCGAGCUUCAGCUGGUACAGAAAGUCCGGCGGUUGCAGGUCUUCGGUCGGGCAAAGUGAAUGAUGCCUCCUGAACUACAUAGUAAGGUGGAAGAUGCAGAACUGAGCCAUUGCUUACUCGAUCCAGCUCCAUGUCGCAAGGACCUGUGUAAGUGUGUCGAUUACCCUCAACACUCCAAGUCCCCUCCUGAGACAUAG
rnacentral:lncRNA from 1 species